GAAAUGCGAUACGUAAUGCGAAUUGCAGAACUUCGUGAAUCAUCAAAAUUUUGAACGCACAUUGCGCUACUGAGUAAUCUCAGUAGCAUGCUUAUCUGAGUGUCUCUAAACCCCACUCAGCCGACGCUGCACUUAACUGUGCUAGCAACGCGCUGGACUGUGAUGGUGUUUGGCAACGAACUCCGUUCAAGUUCAUAGGUUUGUUGUUGACGCCCUUGCUGGCCGAACGCGAAUCGCAACUAGAUUUGGUAGGUGCACUUAUGUGUAUUUUGAAUCUGGCUUGUGAGUUGCCGAGGCUUACGAGAGCAUCUCCAGCGAAUUGGGCAACCAGCACCUGCUGGCCUGCCCGGAAUGAAUGUACCUCAUCUAUGGAUCUCAGAUUAAGUAAGACUACCCGCUGAAUUUAAGCAUAUAAUUAAGCGGAGGAAAAGAAACUAACAAGGAUUCCCCU
rnacentral:rRNA from 1 species